UAACAUUCUGCUUUGAAGAUUCACCUGAAGGGAAGUGUCUACUAUGUCCAUGUAGCCAUGUGGAGGCUCAUGAAAUGCUUUUCUAGUUAGAUAUUUGAAUAAAACUCAGGGGAAACAGUUUGAUAAAAUAAAUAGAACAAUAGCCAUAUAUGGAGCCUGAUAGGCCUGGGUUUAGAUCCCAGCUUUGUUACUCACCAACUCUGAGAUGUCAAGCAAGUCACUUUUAAACUCUUUGGGUUUCAGUUUCUUCAUCUGCAAAAUGGAUACAAUAGCUAUCUUCGAAGGCAAGUGUCAAAAGAGAUGCUGUAAUUUACCUGACACACCUAUUAGGAACUCACCAAAGUGGAAACAUGGAUUCAAUCCAGCGGAAAGAUGGAUGCAAUCAUCUUCCCUUUUCACACUGGGAGUCAGGGAGAACCUGGCUUUCACACUUGUGAAGGAGCUGAAAUGCUGGGGCUGUGUAAAUGCUCCCAGGUGAUAUUCUGAUUUAAAGAAGAAACAAGCUAUAUUUAGAGUGAAAUGGAGUCUCCUACUCAA